CUAUAAGGAAAAAAUAAAAUAAAAGAAUUAGAAACACUAUUUGCAGGGCUAGUGGUCUGGGGAAUGAGCAAAUUUUUGUUCACACAUUCUAAUUGUGGUACAUUACUGGAAAAGAAAAAAAAAUCUCUGUAAGACUUUAGGUGUCUGCAGCAAUUUCAUCAAAACUCAGAGAAAAUGCCUUGAGAGGUGGCACUGAAUCCUGCUGACAAGAGAGCACAUCCUGGUGAAGCAGAAAUGAGGAAAUGAAUGGGAAUCACUUGGUUUUUCAAGCAGUGGUUGCAGAACAAUCUUCUCCUGAUUUAUUCCCAAGCUUUCGCUGGCUUUAAAACAUGAGUGAUGCUCAGGCAUGGUGUGCAGUUCUCAGAAAUAAAGAUGCUGUGCCACUGAAGCAGAAGAGCGUGAGAUCUGUAAGGAAGGAAGAGGUCUGUAAUCCAUCAAAAGUCUCUGUAAAGAUGAACAGAGCAGGAACUGCCUGAAUAUAUGCCCUUAAAGAUACACUCACAAAAGUUAAAGAAGUGGCGGGGUUAAGGAGUGGAUCUCAUAUUUCUGCCUGCCUCGUAUUGAAAGUAAUUCAUCAAGUGCUGAUGUUGCCAGGUCCCUGGAGAAAGGGAAGGGAUCAGACAGAGAUGCUGCAGCAGUCAGAUGUGCAAGCGGACACCCACCCAUGUAGGCUGGUAGAGAGGUCUCUGCAUGCUCAGAACCUGGAAAAGGCCAGAGCUUGGAAAGAGCAGCCAGAACACAUGGCUUUUAUCACUAGUUAUGCUGGGUAUACAGGGGUGCUGCAAAUGGAGCCAACAAAUUUUUCCCACCAUUUUUUCCAUCUCUGUUCUUUGUUAAGACUGAGGGUUUGAUCUUUUUCAAGAAGUGUUUGCUCUAUCAGCACACAGAUUUCAGGGUUUUGGAAGAUUAGAGUGUUUCUGACAGAAAAUACGAUGGGUAAAGUCGACAAGAACAUUUCCUAUAUAUCAACUGGGCUUGCAAUUCUUUUUAAAAUCCGAUGCAGUUCCUUUUGUGGUCACUAAGUGGUGUCAGCUAUAAGGACAGUGUCUGCAAGCUUGUGGAAAGUUCUCCUGUUAAACUAUUGUUUCAAAAUUGUAGCAGAAUGACAAUGAGGAAAUAAACAAAACCUGUAAUCAAUCUUUUCAGAGAUCAUUUGCACCCUGCUAAGAGACUGUGCUGCAAAAGGACAUAGUGUCAGCAGAUUUUAAUGGGUUGUGGUUUUGGGGGGUUUUUCUUUUAAGUUUUGGAAGUUCUGAGAGGCUGACAAUCAGAAAUUAAAUAUUUAGUUGUGAAUCUCCUUUUCAGGGCUAACAGCCUUCUGUCUGACUUGUUCCUAAGUCUUGGUCCAGAGCCUGUUGGAGGUAAUUAUAUUGCUUAAUAGCUGUAAAAUGGUCUGGGAAACCACAUAAGAACCAUUUUUACGUUGAUUUCACAUUUUGGUCAGGCCAGAAUGCCCUUCCAGAAGUUUUGCAUGAAAAUGCAACUAUGAAAAUAACUCAAGGAAAUGAAAACAAGAUACCUCAAAUGAAAAAGGCAAUAGUAUGAACUAAUUGCAGUUUGCGAACUGAUGGGAGUUAAUUAUUGAACCUACUCAAAAGCACAUCCAAAAUGUUUCUUUACAGGCAUAGGGAUACCCGAGCUGUUUCUGUUUCCAGAUUAAUUACUUCUUGGGAAGAAACAAGGAACUGUGAAUACGUAAGUACCUCUGAGAAUUUUUUGUGUGAAGUUAUGACUUGGGCCCAUUGGCUUCCCCUAAACUAUUUGCAUGAUUCAAGGCUAAUCUAUGCAGCCAUUCAACUGAAAGAAAACAUUUUAAUUGCAAUCGUAGUCAUUUGGAGUAGUAAGAAUUUUCAGAAAUAAAAGCCACCUCAUCAGAAAGCAGAAACAUGAAACACAGUUUACCAGUAGAAGUUUGAUUAGCACAUGAGGUGUCAGUGGCUGGCUGCCCCACUGUGCGGUGUGUGAGCCACCCAUGGGCUGAGGGUUUGGCUGGUUUCGGCAGUAUGAUCACAACCCACAGAAAAAAGGGAAACACAGGAGUAAUAAUGACAAAGCAAAAGUGCACAAAAACAGUGGCUCAAACCAGCUGUGUCACCUAUUUUAAUGUCAUCUCAAGUGAGGGCAGAGAGCAAGGGGUGUCCUUGUGGGACAGCAGCCCUGUCUUUCCUAGGGACGGGGCUAGGGAGGGAUCAUGGAUCUCUGGAGAUGGGGCCAACCUCAGUGGAAGAAAGGGGAGACCAAAGCUCUGAUUUUUCUUUGAGGCAACAUAUGACCUAUGUCCUGGGUCUGACCCUUGGCUUGCUCUGGUCUCCUUAACCUAGAAAAAGAGUUGUGUUACAGCAGCAUCAGCAGCUCCUGGGUGUCCACUGACUUACACAAAGGGUGCAGAAAUCUAACUGGGUCCUCUGAGUUGGGGACAUUUGCACUAAUCAUUGCAGCAUGACUACUGACCCAAACUCCUUUCCUAGAGCUCAGGUCAGGACCAGGGUGGUCUUUCAUCCUGCAACCCACAGACCCUGCUCAGCCAGCUUAGAAAUCUGUGUUUGUAUUUAGGCACUUGUGAAAACCCAAACUUAUGGAAAAGGUGCUUGUGAAAAACCCAUUACCCAUGUCUGUGUGGCAGCCCCACUGGGAAAUCAUCAGUUUCUGACUGACGUUUGUUGUCAUGUCCCCCCAAAAUUUUUUUAUUCAGCUGAGUGUCAGAGGGGCAGGAAGUUUUUAUGAGGUCCCUCUUACUGUAGUUGAAGGCACUGGGAAUGUCCCUAGAGUACGAGCGCAGUGUAUAAAAAGGGGGAAGUCACACUAGAUGCAUCAGUCGCUUGCUCGUCCCGCUGAGCAUAUAGCUAAGAUGAUGAUGGUCUCUUGCCUGUUCCUCUCCAGCAUCUGGACCAUUGCAUCAGCCUCUGUGCAGGUGAUGAACAGAAAAGUCCAGUCGGUCCAGGCAGGAGGAAAUGUUACUUUUUCGUGCCGGUCAGUGACAAAAGAAGAUGUGAUACAGGUGACCU